rnacentral:misc_RNA from 1 species
UUAACUAUUAUAUAGUACUCAGACGACACUAACAUUCAGAGUUUGGGGUCCUCUGGCGGGCACGCACCAGCCGAAGCCGGUGGCCGAGGCGGCCCGCCAAAGCAACAAAAGUAUGUAAUACAUAGGGUGGGAGAUCUACCCCGAAGGGCAUGAUGCUCUGUAAUGAUCCCUCCGCAGGUUCACCUACGGAGA